rnacentral:lncRNA from 1 species
UAUAACUCCGGUCAACUUAUUGUGUGAAAGGUUUAAAGAAUGGAUUUCACUCAAGUUCCCUAAUUCUGGUGGGAUAUGACCAGUUAAGUUGUUGCAAGAUAAAUCAAUCCCAGUCAUAUAUGAAAGGAUGUCGCCCUUGUACGAAUAGAACCCACUCUUUGUUGUGAACUCUAUUACUUCUUCAAAGUAGCUGUAAGGGUAGUAAGAAUCCGGUCCCAGAUUUGCUAUCAUAAUGCGUGUUGAUUCAUCCUCUUCUGUAGAUUGCCUAUAGAUCCCAAUGUCUAGAAUCUUCUUCGUUUGCAUUGGAAGAGAUAAAUUUCCCAAACAAGAAGGUAUAGGACCAGAAAACAUAUUUUGAGAAAGAUCUAUGAUGCUUAAAGAAUGCAACUUGCAUAACUGAAUUGGAACUUUACCGUGAAAAUGAUUAUCUUUCAAGAGAAGAACACUCAAAGAAGAAAAUGUGUCAAUCCAUUUUGGAAUAUUACCUGUCAAAUUGUUUCCUCUAAGAUCUAAAGUCACUAGAGAGGAGCUAUUAUAAAAAGCAAGUGAUAGUGGACCUCUCAGUCUAUUCCCGUGGAGGUGGACAUGCUCUAUGUUUGGUGGAUUAAAACAUGACGGUAUAGAUCCAGAUAAAUGAUUUUGGGAAAGAUCCAAAAAUUCCAACCUAUUCAACUUGCAAAAUUCCAUUGGAAUAGAACCCUCGAAACCGCUGUUGGACAAAGCUAAUCUCUCCAAAAACGAUGCAUUCCCUAUCCAUCUUGGGAGCUUUCCAUGCAACUUGUUGUUACUAAGAUCAAUUUCCCUUAUUGAAUUUGGAAACUCAAAAGUAGACAAAUCAACAUUUGUCAUCUCUCCUGAAAAAUUGUUUCCAUCCAAAUAUAAAUUCUGCACCCCAUUUGAGUUGAGAGCCACAGGAACUACAUUUCCACUGAGCUUGUUAUUUGAUAGUCUCAAAAUGGUCAGUGAGCCUUUCGCGAUCAACUCUUCUGGUACUUUUCCAUACAAUUGAUUGUUUGAUAGAUCUAAAAAUGAUAAGUCCUUCAUGACACUUAAACAAAGUGGGAUAUUACCUUCAAAAGCAUUCUUGGAUAAGAAUAACCGCCACAAAUGUGGAAAAGUUGAACAUAUACUAGUCGGAAUUUGACCUUGUAAUUUGUUUUCAGAUAUGUCAAUUGAAGAUACAUUAGAAAUAAGAGCUGACGAAAAUGAGAGAGGACCAGUAAAGGAAUUACCCAUCAAGAUGAGAACUUCUAACUUUGUGUAGUUUUCUAACAACCAAGUUGGGACUGUUCCGCUGAAAUUGUUAUGAGAAAGAUCCACAUAUCUCAAGUCAUAUUGGUAGUAAAGGAAGGUAGGAAGUUCAAGAUUGAGUUGUUGAGAUGUAAUGCACUUUGACAAACUGAUGCUGGUCAAUUGAAACUUUGGGACUGAGGUAUAAAAGGAAGGUUCCAUUACCAUCUUGUUUUCAUCACCGGAAAGGACUUUGAGGUUUGAAAGGUUUGCAAAUGGUGCGAAUGAUAGUGGAAUUUGAAAACGGUUUGCUGAAAUAUGUAACUCACGAAGAGAUGUCAAGUUACUGAAACAAUGAGGAAGCAUCCCCUCAAGUGCAUUCCCACUCACAUCCAACACUUCAAGGUUCCUUAGAUCACACCAUCCUGAAAAAUUUAUAAAUUCAUUGAAGAAAUUUUAAUUAAAUUUGAUCUAUUAAACAGAAUAGGAGAUAUUAUAUCCCAGAAGGCUCAUAAAGAAGUCAAUUUGACCCAUAAAUUUAUUUACCAUGAUUAGGUAAGGGACCGAUAAGUCCACAAUCAUGUAAAGACAAUGUUUUAAGAGAAGCGAAUACUCCAAUGCUUUGCAAAAUGUUGGUGUUGAGAGUAGAUCCGUCAAAAUAUAAUUCCUCCACAUUGCUCGACACAUUUAAUUCUAUAGGAUGGGAAGAGGUAUUAGAUGUUAAUAAACGUAAGCUGUUUUGGAAAAGAACAUAAUGACUUUCACUUACCUUGAGUAGCCAGAGUCAUGUUCAGAUAAUUGUAUUGUAGAUGAAAGGCUUUAACUGAUGAGAAAGACUCCACUAAAUUUUGUAAUGGAAUGCUUCCAUCGGUGAAAGCGUGAUAAAGAAACAAAACUUUCAAAUUUCUCAAUCCCUUAUUUUCUGUAAGUGAAAGAAAUAUAUAAAUAUUUGUUUUCAUCAAUAAAAUAAAAUUUUAAUAGAGAAUGUCCAAAUCUUAACAUAACUAUUUAUUCAUUUUAUUAAUUAAACUAAUCCUUUUUUAGCAUUCUAAGAUAAAAUAUAAUUUCAAAAUAAAUUUUUUCUUGAUUCAUAUCAGAUUUAAAUAUGUUUGAAAUUAAUUUAGCAUUUAAUUCCUUAAUAUUAGUAUUUGGUACUAGUAAUGGAGUUUUUUAACUCUACAAGUGAAGUUAAAAAAUGGCCAGUAACCUAUUUCUUUUAAAUAUUUCUUUUUUUUAAUAUUUUAUUAUACCAUAUAAUAUAUUUGUUAUUAUCUCAAUCCUACUUAUGAAGUUUAGAAUUUCAUUAAUAGUACCACCCCGAUUUUUUUAAAAAAACCAGAUUUUUAAAAAAAAAAAUUUGAUAAAAGAAAAUAAUUUUACCAAAUAUUUUCCCUUAAACUUAAUUUACUUUGUACUCAAUUAUAAAUGUUAAGAAAUAUUUUACAAUCUAAUAAAUAAAUUUUUUAAUUAAAUUCUCCAUAUUAAAUCAAAAUUUUAAAGCACUAAAUCAUUGCCCUAAAAUUGUCAAAAUACAUCCUUUUGAAUUUUAAAAUUUAUAAAUUCCGAAAGAGACUUUCAGCUUCUCAAAUUCUCUAUUUAAAUUUCACCUACAUAGUUUUUUUUGGCAAUUCUUCAAAAUCUCAUUUAUUUAAAUCAUGGUUCUAUUAUAAAAUAGAAAAUUUUAAACUAAAAAAAUAUUAUUUUAAUUUAAAUCUAAUGUGCAUAUUUUUAAGUUAAUAACAUGUGCAUUUUGAAAUUUAUAAAAAGUUUGGAAAAAAAAUUUUAAGCACCUCAAAAUGUAUGUUUAAAUUUCAUAAAAUUGAAGUUUUUUUUUUAAAUUAUUCAAAAUUGACAUUUAUUUAUUUUUGGCCAAAAAAUGCCAUUUAAUUAACUCUAAUGUGUAUUUUUAUGUUUUAUGCCAUUUAUUUUACUCAAUUUCAAAAUUCAAGUCUAAUUAUUAAUACUGUUAAAAUUAUUUUAUUAAAUCCAUUUUCAUUAUGUCAUUUUUUAGUUACAUUGUUACCAAAGUUUUUUUAAUUUCAAAAUGUCACACCAACUAAUUAUUUUUUAAAAAAAAAAUUAAUAAUUUUAACUAUUGAACUUGGAUUUUGAAAUUUUUUUUUAAAAUAGAGGGACUAAAUUCCUAAAAAUAAAAGUAUAAGAAUUAAAUUACAAAUUUAUAAAGAGUAUGUAGACAUAUGUUAAUAACAUGUGCAUUUUGAAAUUUAUAAAAAGUUUGCGAUGGAAGUUUAAGCACCUCUAAGUGUAUGUUUAAAUUUCAUAAAAUUGAAGAUUUUUUUAAAUUAUUCAAAAUUCAUAUUUAUUUAUUUUUGGCCAAAAAAAAUGUGAUUUAUGUAACUCUAAUAUGUAUUUUUAUGUUUUAUACUAUUAAAAAAAUAUGAAAUUAAAAUAUAGUUAUAUUACAUAUUUUCUCAUAAAUAUAUGUUUUUAUUUAUUUGUAAUAUCAUUGUUUUUAUUGUUAUAAUUAUUUUUUAUCUCAUAAAAAUUAAAUAAAUUAUUUUAAAAAAUAUAUUUUUACAAACAAAAUAAUUAUAAACAUUAAUAUUUUAAAAUUAAGAAAAUUUUAAAGAAUUUUAAUUUCAAACUAAAGUUGAAACACAUUAUAAUGGAGGAUUUAGAAAAUGUUUCACCAAACUCAUAUUUUACUUUCAAGUAUGAUAUGAUAUAACUUUAUUAAUAUUUAUGACAAUAACCGUUAUUAUAAUAUAUGAGAUCAAAACUAAAUUUCUAAAUUAGAAAAAAAAAGAAGUUUAAUUAAAUGAUACCUUGGUGGAUCACCAAAUCUUUCAAUUCAUUGUCGCUCAAAUCUAGUUCCCUUAACUUGAUAAAUGCAUCCAAAUCUAGGAAAACAAAAUUAACAAAUCAACUUCAUUAUAUUCUCUUAAAACAUUAUUAUAUCCUUGUUAAAAAACUAAUAUUUUUACCUUUCAUAUCUAUUGAUCCUUUCAAUCCAUUGAACCUUAUGCUCAAAGAUUUCAAAUUUGAAUGCUUGUUAAGGGAUGCAAAUACACUAGUAUUGAAGAGAUUGUAAUCUAAAUUAAGCUCUUCCAAGUGGGUCGACUCCAAUUUUCUACCACCAUCUACAAAAGAUUUAUAUAAUUUCAUCACUAAAAUGAAUUGGCAUAAAAUUUAAUUAUAUGUAAGAAUUUAGGUAAUUGGUUAAAUAUAAAUGCAUACCUUUAAAGGAUUGAAAGCUUUCAAUUUGAUUCCAACGUAAAUCGAGUUUCUUCAAAUUUGUUAAAUUGCUCAAUCCUAUACAUAUCCAUGUCCAAUUCAAAAAAUCAUUAUGUUAAUAAUUUUAAUUUCUACUUAAUAUUUUAAUGAAAUAAAAAAAAGUAUAUCUAAAACUUGAAGUGAAGAUGAAAAACCUCAAACGUGAAAUCUGAAUGCUCAAAUUUGAAACAAUUAAUUUUAAAAUGUUCUAGAAAGAAUUAUCAAGAAAAACAAAGUUAUAGCUUUAGUACCUUUAGUAUCUAAUGAGCCUUGCAGACGGUUGUUGUACAAAGUCAAAGACUUUAGGCUUGAAAACCCCUGAGGAAAGGAAAUUGUGUUGUUCCGAAAGAGAUUAUUACUUAAAUCAAGUUCCUCUAAGUUUGUUAGCCUCCAUUGUGUUCCAUCUAUCAUUGGAAGAAAAUAAUUAGUAUAGUUAAUAUCAUUCAAUAUAUAAAUAGCUAGGAAAAAUGUUUGUUUGAGAAGGAAGAGCCAAUUUACAAGCUUUCCCAUGAAUUGAUAACUACAUUUUACAAGUAAAACUUAAUUGAUUCAAUAUAUAAAUACUUUGUUUGAGAUACCUUCCUACUUAAUUUACUCUAUUUUGAAAUAUUGCAACAUUAACUGUCCCUUAAACAAAAAUUGGUUUUAAAGUAAAAAAAACAUAUAAAACCAGUCUACCUUUAAUAUGAAUUGACAUAUAAAUACUAUACUUAUACCUUGGUUUGAGAUGCUUUCAAUGUUGUUGUCACUUAAAUCCAAGUAUUUCAAGUUUGUCAAAUUAUUCAACCCUAAAAUUCAAUCCCAAAUAUUGAUUAGUUAUAUAUUCAUCGUAUGAUGAAAUCAAACUUGAAUAUACAUUGAUUUUUAAAGUUGAAAAGAAACAGGUAAAAUCAGUUUACCUUGAAUAUGAUCCAGCCUUCCUUUCAACUGAUUACGUCUCAAUCUUAAAGUCUUCAAGGAUGAAAGAUUUCUCAUAUGGAACAAAAUGCUAUUCUUCAAAGAAUUCCAACUUAAAUCAAGAGUUUCCAAGUUAUUGAGUCUUGAAAGCAAUUGAAAACCUGAUAUAUAUACAUAAUUACUUGUUAAUUUUUUCUUUCUUUCUUAGCUAUAUGAAAAUUUUACUAAAGCAAAAGUAGAAUUACAACGGAUAAAAAGAAUGGAAAACUAGGUACCAAGCCUAGAAGACCAUCCUCAAACUCCACUAUACAAAUAAAAACUAACACUAGACCAAACUUAAUUUACCUCUUAGAUGACCUGAUCCUUCAAAUUUGUUGCUUGAUAAAUUUAAAUACCGGAGAGAUGAAAGCUCACUUAAAGAUAACAAAAUGCUGUCAUUCAAGUAGUUUUCACUUAAGUCAAGGAUCUCCAAAUUACUCAAUGUGGAUGAUAGUUUUCCAAAGCCUGUAGAAGUGUUCUUUUAAAUAUAUACAAGCAGUUAGUAACUUUUCUUCAAUAAAAUAUAAGUAAUUGUAAAUUAUCAAUAGUGAGAAUAGUGGAAUAGUAAAAGAUGUAAUUAAGGAAAAAUUAAAGGCACGACCUUCAUUUUCAAGGUUACCACCCAUGGCAUUUCCCGACAAAUAAAGUCUCUUCAAUUCCUCAAAGGGAAGAAACAUAGAGGCAUUGAGAUACCAGGCAUUGAGAUUCCUAUUAUCCAUGUCGUAUUCCAUAUUGUAUAACCAUAUUGUAGAAUUAAGGGAGAGUUGUAUGAGUCUCCUAGUGGUGGUGUUACACUCAACUCUUUCCCAUUUACAACAAUCUGAACCCUUCACCUCAACCCAACUUUGCAAUUGAUUACCAUAAUUGAAGAAAGGCUUGAGAUGCAAGAGAGCGAUUCUCUCAUGCUCCAAACAAGCAUCAGUAGUACACCAACUGCAUCUUUCUAACACCAACAACAUUACUGCCAUCCUAAUAAACCAUAAGUACCAUUUCCACUCCAUCAUCAUCAUCAUCUUUCUGUUUUCACUUCUCUCUCAGCUAUAUGUUACUUUUUUUUAACUUCUAUAUGUAUAUAAUCUAAAGAAGCCUAAGCUUCUUAUUUAUAUACAAGCAGAACAUACUGCAUCCCACUAAUUCACUAUAAUAUAAAAAUAAUAUAUAAUUAAUUAAUUCCUCAAAAAUUGGAUCAAUCUAGGCUUCUUAUUUACAUAAAUUCCUUAUUGCAAAAACUCUAGGUGGAAAUUCAUUAGGAAAUGAUGAAAGGACUGCAAGAAUGCUUAUCAACCCUUGACUUUGGCAUUCAAUGCUAAAUUUAUUUUAAAAUUUCUUCAUGGAGACAAGAUGGGAUGACAAGAAUGAUAAGUUUUAAGUCAUUUAAGUUUAUCACUCAUAAAAAUAAGUCUUAACAUUCUAUUAAAGAAUUUAAGCAUGGCUCAACGUUGAUUUUAAAUCUAAUGUUGAUGUUAAUCUUGAAAAACGAAUGGCCAAAAAAAUAUGAAAAGUGAGAGGUGGACAUUAAAUCAUGUAGUUGGAGUUAUAAAAUUCUUCAUGUGGUUUUCUUGUGAGUUUCAUUUAUACCCUUCUUACACUUAUACAAAGUUAAUCUUGACUUGGCUUUAUUAACGGAAAAUUUAGGUCUUCAUUUUUUGUUUUAUUCAUGGAAAUUUUUAUUCAUGGAAAUUUUACUUCUUUGAUUUUGGUUUUAUUAAUGGAAAUUUUAGGUUUUGAAAGUUUUUUUUUUGCCCGGAAGAUUUUGUAAGUUUAAACCAAAUAUGAUUUUAUAAUUUUUACUACUUUCUUUUUAAUAUUUUAAAAACCAAUUAAAUAUUUAAGCAUAUUUUUUUAGAAAAAUAUUUAAACAUAAAAUAUAUGAAUUUAUUUUAUAAUACAUUUUUACUUUUUUUAAUAUUUAUAUAUAUAGAAGGAUGAAAUUGUAAUUUUAUAUAGUAGAGUGGGAUGGGAUGGAACAAGGAAUUACCGUAACGGCUCCAUAGUCAUUGUCCAAUGGAAAAAAAAAUCCACCCAUCCCACCUUGCUUCCACUUUUCUAAAAAAAAAUCCACUCCAUUCUAAGUAGAUCGUUUCAAAAUUCAUCGAACAGUUCAGGAUUUGCUACCUCUACAUAAACCUCUCCAAACCCUUAAAUUCAUUUAAUUCGAAAUUUGAAAAAGACAUCGAUUUUUUUUAUGACUUAAAAUUUUACUUGAAUAUUUUUACAAUUAAUUAAUUAAAUUGGGUUAUUUUAAAAAGCCGCUCUUAACUAAUAGUCGAAAAAAAUUAAAGUUUCCAAUGUAAAAAAAUUAGUUUUAUGGAAAAAUAAAGUCUUGAAAUAUUACUUUAGGUUUGGAAAUGUUGAACUUGAUAUUAACAUCUGAAAAUUGAUAGCGAAUCGACUUAUAUGUACAAAACUUAUAUUAACUAGAUUUUUAGUGAGUAAUAUGUAAAAAUAACAAGUGGGCAUAACAUUAGACAUAUGAUAAUAUGUUUGUCACACCAAAUCUUGGAGAUAGUAGAACUUAAUGAAUUUACAAAAUAUCAUUUAGUGAGGAUUGAAAUUUUAAAAUUUCAAAAAGCAUAAGAUCUAAAAUAUCAAAUUAAAGUCUAGGAAUUAAAUCUACAACUUCAAUAAAGUACAAAAACUAUAUGGUAGAAUUUAACCUUUAUAUAAUAAUUUCGUUAUGUGAACCACAACUCAAGUACAUUCCAUAAAUAACAUUAAAAAAUUGGUAUGUGUCUUCUUCUUUUUUUAAUAUUCAUUUUUUAACAUUAUAUACUACACCUCUACAAGACAUGUCUCACUCCUCUGAUCCUUCUUAUAGAGUUUAAAAACUCCACCUACUGUGUACUAAAUAUUAAUUAGUCCAAUUACUAUACUAUUCAUGAUUUAAGGAUAAAGAUAAAAUAUAAUAUUUGCUUAAAAAUCUCAAUUAUAUACAUUUGGUGACCCAUUAUGUUGUAAUAUAGCACCAUCUACGAAGUAGUUCGAGGAAAUUGUUAAGAAAAUAUUAUUACAUAUAUCAACAAUCACAUAAUUCAUUGCAUUAACUUUCAAAUGUUGACUAUUGACUUCUGCGUCAACCUUGAUCUUAUAUAGGCCCCCUAAUAAUUUAGGUUGUGUAAAUAAUCUCACAUUUAAUGCCUGAGAAAUUAUUAUAGAUGAAAUUAUAGUUUUAAUCCCUAUAUUUACUCACAUAAAUAAUGUUCCUCGAUCAGAUUAAGUGCUCUCAAUGAUUAAUACAAGAGCCUAUACAAGUCUCUUAAUUAUAUAAAGAUUUUAAGAUUUGCUAACCUAAUGAAGAUCAUUCACAAUCCCUUCUAAAAGAUAGCUAAAAUAGUUGAAUACAAUAUAAUAAUAACAACUAAGGCAAUAUGAGCUGUUGGCAAAUAAGGUAUUAAUGUUUCGAUCUGAUCCAACUUCCUCAAUCUAAGGGAUUAGAUAGGCUUGAUCCGAUCCUAUUUAACUUGAUCCUUCAAAUAAGUUUCUCCAAGUACUAUGAUAUUCAUUGAUGGACUUGAUAUAACCCACGAUAUCAACUCAACCCAAAGAUAUGGUUCAAUAAAUUGCCAAACUCCUAAAUGUGGGAAGUUGUUUAAUGUGCCUAUGUGCCGCAAUGGUAAAGGAUGUGGGCACUUCCUCACACACAUCGCAACAACUCUAAAUUUUUCAACAGAAAUGAAUAUAAUUUUUAACAGAAUGAUCAAUUAAUUUUUUUUAUCAAACAUACAUGUAACGUCUUAAAAUUUUAAUUUUGGGUAUUGUGAAUGUGUGACACAAAAUAUCUGUUUACUUUAGUGGUUAUGUGCUUUAGGUGUGUUUGGGAGGUCCUAAGUUCUAGCUAGAACUUGGGCAAAAUUUGGUAUUUUUAUGAAUAGACCUAUCUUUGGUCAGUAGGCUUUUAAGUAAAAGUUAGCAAAUAAUUAACAGAAUGGGUCUGCUGAUCUGAUGGAUAAGUGGAGUGUUAGAGUGUUGGAGGUCUUGUGUUCAAAUCUUGGCGUGGACAUUAUUUUUGCUCGUGCGUCCAGGAGAGUUUGAGAUGGACUAAAAAUCUGAGUAGUGGAUUUAGUGGGGAGUUUGAUGGAGAAAAAUAAGGGAUUGGGGUGGUUAUCAAAUAUUUUGUUCAUUUUUUUCUCUCUUUCUUUUUUUUUUACUUUCCCCAAAAUCCGUCCACUCUCUUGCCGUUAUUCUCUUCAUUGCUGCAGAAUUUUUGCUUUCUUUCACCCUUUAUCUUCUUGAUUUUUCUUUUCCCACUCUGCCUCGUGUCACUCCAUGUUUAUUUGAGAUCGUUUUGUAAGUUUUAGAUAAGUGAUUUGUCUCUGUUUGUUAACUUUCUUCUGAAGUGUUUUGUUUAUGCCAAAUAAGGAAGGAUUCAAUGGCUCGUAAUCACCAAUUGGAGUCUUAGUUUUUGUGGGAAUUCCUGUUCAUCAGUUGAAGGUAAGGUUUAGUCGCUUAUGGGUUAAAAUCUUGAUACGAGUUCGAUUUAGGAUCACGUUAUAUGAGAUUAAAUUGAUGUUAUUUUUUUAAUUAUAGGAUUUGGAGUGCUCGGGGACUAUUUUAGCAUCAAACAAAACUAGGUGUGUACCCGUAAUGCAAAAAUAAGGGAUUCGGUAAAAUGCUAAAAUUGCCUACUGUUUGGACAAAAGCAGUAGGCUGAAUUUAUAAAAUCACCAUAAAUUGUGAAAAUCAAAUUUUAUGCAAUAUAACUCCACACAGAAAUGGAUUUCCCUCAUAACUAUUUUCAAUAAAGGUCCCAAAUUGAGCUUUUGGUUAGGGAAUACUACCUGACAAGUUGUUGUAUGCCACGCUGAAAACCUCCAAAGAGUUCAACUCUACCAAUUGAUUGGGGAUUUCACCACUCAAGUUGUUGUAAGAAAGGUCCAAACUCUCAAUUUGAUGAAGUUUUGAGAAUGACGAGGGUAUAACUCCGGUCAACUUAUUGUGUGAAAGGUUUAAAGAAUGGAUUUCACUCAAGUUCCCUAAUUCUGGUGGGAUAUGACCAGUUAAGUUGUUGCAAGAUAAAUCAAUCCCAGUCAUAUAUGAAAGGAUGUCGCCCUUGUACGAAUAGAACCCACUCUUUGUUGUGAACUCUAUUACUUCUUC